rnacentral:lncRNA from 1 species
GUGCUAAGUAUUUCUCAUCCAAAGCAAAAUGGAGGUUGUAAUAUGUUGUAUCUGCUAAUGAUGUGGAGACAUCGUCUUCAGAGGCCUCUUUGGAUUUCAACAUAUCACUUCAGUGGCUAUUACUUAUUAUCAGUAACCUAAGUGCCUGAGUGGAGCCUAACAAAAGAAGGCUCUACACGUGGUCUCAUCUGUAAUACAAGUUUCUCUGCUGCUUAUCUUUCAGGAUACAACUGGUUCAAUGGGAGUCACGAUAUUUGUGGCAGAUCUGGGUGCUGUAUGGAGUCUGGUUGCAAAAUCACAGCAGUGGCCUCUAAGAAAGUGGAAUUAUGUCGUAGUCAUACUCUUUGCUCAACUGUUUUUGUUUUUGUUGUUGUUGUUGCUAUUGUCUCUAUUAGAGACUGAAGGCUCGAUAAUGGGACACAUUCAAUAGACAACAUGGACAUUUUCUAUUUGCCCACAUAUCUCUAAAGUUGAGCAUUACCAAACACCUCCAUCAAGUACCAAGGAUCCUUGGGAGAUGAAGCCCCCAUACAUCCUGAAGUCACAGAUGAGGCUUAAGAACAGCAUUGCCUUUGAAGAUAUGUAUGAAUUGCUAACAACUGACUGACUCCGGGCUUGAACAAUGAAAACCAGAGAAUGAACAACACACCCAAGCAAGUCAUGUUGAUCAGGCCAACUGUAUGAGAAGGACUUGACAGUGUCCUUUCUUUUCUUGGAGGCAAUGUUUACAGUGCUAUUUAUGGAGAUGAAAUCAUAUACGCUAUUUCUAUUUGAAGAUACGCUUGAAUUGCAAGUACAGAGAAAUGGAAGCUUUGUUCUGUGUUUCUCAAGGGACAGGACAUUUGGAGAAAGAACCACCACACACAUCAAGGAGGGGGAGCCAGAGGCAGUAAAAGAUAUAUGGAGAAGGUUUUGUUCCUCUUACUCUGAAUGUAGUGCCGAGGAAAACGAAUUCUGA